GGCUCAGAUUGAACGCUGGCGGCAUGCUUUACACAUGCAAGUCGAACGGUAACAGGUCUUCGGAUGCUGACGAGUGGCGAACGGGUGAGUAAUGUAUCGGAACGUGCCCAGUAGUGGGGGAUAACUACUCGAAAGAGUGGCUAAUACCGCAUGAGAACUGAGGUUGAAAGCGGGGGACCUUCGGGCCUCGCGCUACUGGAGCGGCCGAUAUCAGAUUAGGUAGUUGGUGGGGUAAAGGCCUACCAAGCCGACGAUCUGUAGCUGGUCUGAGAGAACGACCAGCCACACUGGGACUGAGACACGGCCCAGACUCCUACGGGAGGCAGCAGUGGGGAAUUUUGGACAAUGGACGCAAGUCUGAUCCAGCAAUGCCGCGUGCAGGACGAAGGCCUUCGGGUUGUAAACUGCUUUUGUACAGAACGAAAAGGCUCUGGUUAAUACCUGGGGCUCAUGACGGUACUGUAAGAAUAAGCACCGGCUAACUACGUG
rnacentral:rRNA from 1 species